UACAGAUGGCAGCACAGGUAGCACCGGUAAAGUUACAGGUGAUAUUAUUUUGCCGUCUUCAGCCUUAGCUACAUGUGAGUGCGCGCUGCAUUGACGCCGUCCGAUGCAGUUGUUUAAUCGUGUGUACGCUGUGCCGAGAGUAAUUGUGGUGCAUUUUGUAUUCAUUGAGAAUCACAAAACCCCUGGGACCACGUAAUGUAGCCCGCAGUAUCCUUCGUGUGGUACGCCGAUGUCGAAGGUACGACCCUUCGCCACUUUCUUUGUUCCGGGCUCACGAAAAGGAUCUCCUCCUCUGGCACUCUCGCAUCGUAUCACACUGUACGGAAGAAUUUGGUGAAAAUUGUGCUCUUACGUCCUGUAGUUGAUCCGCAAUUCAACAGUGUGCGCGCCGGAAAGACCGUUGGUGCAGUCGAUGCCGCGGCACCUGUGACGCUAAAAGGAGCGUUUUACGAGUACGCCUAGAAAGGGAUGGCAAGAUUUUGUGAACCAGAGGCACCUCCACAUGCACCUGCGGCACUUCUGCAGCGUCAACAGCACGGCAAAGUACCUGAUGUGCAUGCUGUGACAAGCUGCUAUAGGUAUGGCUGGACCUGGAGAAGGAGUGUAAGCAGACCAUGCUAUGUUGCUGAUCUGCGCUGAUCUCCACAUCCAAGUUGGUCCUGCGACAGUUGGGCGCCAUUGUGCCUUGCUUCAUUGACAAGGUGAUAUAAUAUGGUGCCCUGCUCGCUCUCACCCAAGCAACCCACUCCAGCGGUCUUCUCUCGGCAGACUGGAUGCAUCAAAAUACCGUUAGAAGGUCCAAUAAACAGUGCUUGGGACAUUUA